ensembl:snRNA U4 U4 spliceosomal RNA
AGCUUUGUGCAGUGGCAGUAUCGUAGCCAAUGAGGUUUAUCUGAGGCGCGAUUAUUGCUAAUUGAGAAUUGAGGAGUCAUAUAAAAACACUGAGGACUGGGUAUCUGGAGUAGUAAAAAGAAGCAGGAGGGAUGAAUGUUGAAAAUCUUUGCCUAUGUAUAAUUUUG